GCUGGGUGCGGCGGCUCACACCUGUAAUCCAGUAGCUCAGGAGGCUGAAGCAGGAGGAUUGUGAGUUCAAAACUAGCCUCAGCAACUUAGUUCCUGGCUAAGGAACUUAGCCAGACUCUGCCUCAA
rnacentral:sRNA from 1 species